rnacentral:rRNA from 1 species
UGGGGAAUAUUGGACAAUGGGCGAAAGCCUGAUCCAGCAAUGCCGCGUGAGUGAUGAAGGCCUUAGGGUUGUAAAGCUCUUUUACCCGGGAUGAUAAUGACAGUACCGGGAGAAUAAGCCCCGGCUAACUCCGUGCCAGCAGCCGCGGUAAUACGGAGGGGGCUAGCGUUGUUCGGAAUUACUGGGCGUAAAGCGCACGUAGGCGGCUUUGUAAGUUAGGGGUGAAAUCCCGAGGCUCAACCUCGGAACUGCCUCCAAAACUACAAGUCUGGACUCAAGUAGAGGCAAGUGGAAUUGCGAGUGUAGAGGUGAAAUUCGUAGAUAUUCGCAGGAACACCAGUGGCGAAGGCGACUUGCUGGACUUGUAGUGACGCUGAGGUGCGAAAGCGUGGGGAGCAAA